rnacentral:misc_RNA from 1 species
GUAGGUGAACCUGCGGAAGGAUCAUUAACACUUGCCUCCACGUGUCCAAAUCACCUUUGGGCAUAAACCCCUUUAUAUGUGAACUGUUCUUGGUGUUUUUGUUCUUUUUCUUUUUGGGUUUUUUGGAGUAGAUUUGGUUUCAGGCCAUUAUUGUUAUGAUGAUGGUUAUUGGAUUUCCAGAUCGGACGCUUCAACUAUCUAAAAAAUAAGAACAAAAUCAUCUUUUGCUUUUUCUAUUUUAUUAUCAUUU